CCUACGGGAGGCUGCAGUGGGGGAUAUUGCACAAUGGGGGGAACCCUGAUGCAGCGACGCAGCGUGGGGGAAGGAGGGUUUCGGCGCGUAAAGCCCUAUCGGCAGUGAAUUGACGGUACCUGCAAAGGAAGCACCGUCUAACUCCGUUCCAGCAGCCGCGGUAAAACGGAGGGUCCGAGCGUUAAUCGGACUUACUGGGCGUAAAGCGCUCGUAGGCGGUAUGUCAAGUCAAGGGUGAAAUCGCCGCGCUCAACGUGGGAACUGCCUUUGAAACUGGCAAACUGGAGUGUGUGAGAGGUUAGCGGAAUUCCAGGUGUAGGAGUGAAAUCCGUAGAUAUCUGGAGGAACAUCAGUGGCGAAGGCGACUAUCUGGCACAUCACUGACGCUGAGGAGCGAAAGCGUGGGUAGCAAACAGGAUUAGAUACCCGGGUAGUC
rnacentral:rRNA from 1 species